rfam:Gossypium arboreum cultivar AKA8401 contig_26688_3, whole genome shotgun sequence.
AAUCCAUGCAUCGGACAUUUCUGAAUUAACUCCUUAAAUCAUUCUCAAGCUUCAUAUAAUGUUUACUCUAAUUGCCAAAAAGAUGUGAUCUCAUUUUCGAGCUU